AGUGAACGCUGGCGGUAGGCCUAACACAUGCAAGUCGAACGGCAGCACAGUAAGAGCUUGCUCUUACGGGUGGCGAGUGGCGGACGGGUGAGGAAUACAUCGGAAUCUACUUUUUCGUGGGGGAUAACGUAGGGAAACUUACGCUAAUACCGCAUACGACCUACGGGUGAAAGCAGGGGAUCUUCGGACCUUGCGCGAUUGAAUGAGCCGAUGUCGGAUUAGCUAGUUGGCGGGGUAAAGGCCCACCAAGGCGACGAUCCGUAGCUGGUCUGAGAGGAUGAUCCGCCACACUGGAAAUGAGACACGGGCCAGACUCCUACGGGAGGCAGCAGUGGGGAAUAUUGGACAAUGGGCGCAAGCCUGAUCCAGCCAUACCGCGUGGGUGAAGAAGGCCUUCGGGUUGUAAAGCCCUUUUGUUGGGAAAGAAAAGCAGCAGGUUAAUACCCCGCUGUUCUGACGGUACCCAAAGAAUAAGCACCGGCUAACUUCGUG
rnacentral:rRNA from 1 species